UCUGAGUAAGCUGAAGGAGAUCUCUCGUCUGACCAACUAGAGGACAUCUCCCACACGCCCAACCUGGACUUGGUGGACACCAGUUACAACCACCUGCUGUCCCGAGAGGGGCUGAAAGGACUAGGGUGGCUCAUGCAGCUGGACCUGCACUGGAACCAGCUGACCCGGGCCAGGGAGGAGACGGCUGUGCUCCGGAAACACGCCCCCGCACAGCUGCGACUCGACUGAGCACCCGUUACUAUCCCUGGCACAGGGCUUUGGGAAACUUAAUCAUUCUGGAUCUGUACAGGAAUCCUUCAGUGGAGAAACUGGAAAACUAUGGGAAAUAUGUGGUGUUCCACUUCCCCUCUCUAAAGGCACUGGAUGGGACUGCAGUGAUAUGUUUACAUCAUAAUCAAAGCAGUUCUGAAUCUGUUUGUUGAAUUGAGAGAAACAGAAGUGAUGAGUCAUUGAGAUCUAUAGAAAAUGGCGGCUUGUGAGAUUGCCAAGGAUGUGUUUGGUGGAUGCCUGACCCCUGACAUGGUGGCGGAGAAACUGGGACACUAACUAUUCUGACAUCGCCGAUCUCAACCUGCAAUCCUGUGCAAUCAGGAUGGUGGAUCUGACACCAGAAGACCUGUUCUUCAACCUGCACAGUGUCAACCUAGAGCACAACAACCUCACCUCCUUCAGUGGCCGUGUCUGCCUGACCAACAUCAAGGCACUGUGUUUAAACAAUAACCACAGAGUCCAUCCUGCCUAGGCAGAAGGCCCAGGCCCACCUGACUAACAGACAAGUUGUCUGAAAGAACCAUAAAUCCAGAGAAUGCCAGACUUUGACGACAAAAUCUGCCCACGAAGGACCGCCACGCCACCUUCUUGUUCCUGUGAGCACAGCACAACAAGGGAAGUGGACCUUGCGGACAGCCUGGAGCCACUGAUGGGCAGCCUGGAGGUGCUGCAUUUGAGCCACAAUGGCAUCUCCAAUUAUUGCCAAUCUGCAGCUCAGCAGGCUCACCAAUCUCAAAGCACUCUUCCUCCAAGGUAAUGAGAUCAGACAGGUGGAGGGCUGGGAGGGGCUGCACUAGUUGCAGGAGCUGGUCUUGGACCCGAACCGGAUCAAGAUCCUUCUUUGGUCAGGCUGUCCUGCUGGAGCUGCACCUGGUAGAGAACCGCCUCCGGGAGUUCAACCACCUCUUACCAAAAUGAGGAGGCUUUUCCUGGGCAUGAACAAACUACAGGGGGCAAGGCAAACCCUCCAUAGGCCGGUGGUGGUACACCUCUCCAGGCUGAAGGUUCUGGAUGAAGUGAUGGUCACCCUGGAGGAGAGGACCAGGGCUGAGCUACUCUGCACAGAGGCCCAGAUGAGAAACAAAACUGCCAACCACGCCCACAUUGCCCAGGCAGUGAGGACCUUCAGGCAGAUCAGAAGAAUGGCAAGCACCCUGCCAACCACCGGCCUCCUGCCGAACGGGUACAGGGCCCUUAUCACCUACCCCAACCAAUAGGACAGUAGAGCGGUGGUGCUCCUAAACCCGCAAUCAAAGCCCCCAGUACAGCAAUGGGAUGCUCCUGAUGCUCCUGUGUGUGCAAUUGCACUGACAGAGAAGUGGUGAGAAUGUUGUUCAACUCAAAUCAGCUGAGCUUCUGCUCUAUAGACUGUAUAUACAGUGCCCUGCGAAAGUAUUCGGCCCCCUUGAACUUUGCG
ensembl:lncRNA